rnacentral:tRNA from 1 species
GUCUUUUUAGUAUAAAUAGUAUAUUUGGCUUCCAACCAGAAGGCCUAGAACCCUUCUAGAAAAGAUA